AAAUUCACGUCUAGUUAGUGAUUAGUUCUCGCAGUUGAAAGAAAAACGUAAAAAUAAUUAAUAAUCAUGGAUAUUUCGGCCUUUAAAAUUUCAUCAAAUUUGACAAGUACGUAUUGUUAGUGUGAGUGACGGCUGACUGAGUAUACCGGCACAAAUGAGAACUAUAUAUAAAUGAUUAACGCUGUCGCAGCAAAAUAACCGUGAGAUGGCGUUAUUUAUUCUUUUCAAAUUGGAUAUAUCGUAGUAGAAUAUACAUGAAUCAUUUAAAAACACAUCAAAUAUGAUAUGCCUUUUAAAUAAUUUUGUAAUGGGAAAAAUAGAAAAUAGAAAUGAGGAGAAUCACUAACUUUUUAUCACGACAGAGGGCGCACUGUACCUUGGCUUGACAAAACAAACGUCAAAUCGUAUGACGUAUCACUGAGUGUUUAUGAAUAUAAUAUACUUUUGUUCCAAAUGCCUCAAUGCAGUGCGUUAAAUUGUAAAAACAGAGGAAUACAUUUAUUUCCAAAGGAAAGUAAACGUAGAAAGCAAUGGGAAUCUGCGUUACGUAUAAAAAAACUUCGAAGCUAGUAGCACAGCACGAUUGUGUGUUGCGCAUUUUACAGAAAAAGAUUAUUACGGGAAAAUCAAUUAUACAGGUUAUGAGCUCCUUGCAAAAUUUCUUAAAAAGACAGCUGUGCUAUCUGUGUUCUUCUUAACGAAGAUAAAACCAGAAAAUCCAGCUGCUGUGGCACAUCAACAACGUAUUGAACGAAGAAGUCAGUCGAGUAACAAAUGUAGAUAAUUCACAACCAUCAAGUAGCAAAGUUAACCUAAUAAGUGACAGAGACAAUUUACUGGAAGUUGAUCAUGAAGAAGCAGUCAAAACAGAAGACAACAGUGCAGUAGGAUGUACAUAUAUUAUGCAUGAAUUUAUAUCUAAGGGCACUCAAGUUGAUCAAGAACACAAAUAUGGGUUUAUGAAUAGAUAUAAAGAUGAUAAUGCCACUAUUAAGUUUUACACAGGUUUUGAAUCAUAUAAAAAAUUUAAUUUAGUCUACUCAGCUCUUAGUCCAGUGGUUCACAAAAUAAAAUAUUAUGGCAGCAAUGUGAUUAUUCUUAGCAGUGAUUCUAAUUCUAAUUUAUUAGUUGGUGCAAUACCUGGUAGCUUGCUGUUAUAUUGUUCCCAAGCAUUUGCAGGAUUGAUAAGUGAUCAGUAGGCAGUGGAACAAAGUGACCUUUUAGCAAAAUGUGAAAGUGGUAGUAGUAUACUGACUGACAGAGGAUUUAUGAUACAAUAUAUAUUUCAUCAGACAAAAAUGUGACCAUUAGGAUUCCCAGUUUCUUAAAAGAAAAAUUUCAGUUGCCUGGUCUUAAUGUAAUAAAAGAUAGGGAGCUUGCAAACAAAGGAGUUCAUAUAGAAAGAAUAAUAGGAUUAACAAAGACAAACAAAAUUUAAAAAAUGAAUUAGACCAUAACUAUAUCCCAAUAGUGAGCAAAAUCUUUUUUUAUGUUUUAUGUGCUAAACAUCUACAAUUUCAGGAAUUAUACUAUUACUAUAUUGUGAAAGAUAUUAGAUAAAAAGAUGUAAUUAUUUCAAUUUAUUUAUUAAUUGUAAAUAGUUCUUAUACACAUACUUAUUUACAUUUCUGGUUCUAAAUUAUGUACAUAAAAGUUUAACAAAUUUGUCAACAUGCCAUUAAUAAAUGAGUCAUCUCUA
rnacentral:lncRNA from 1 species